rnacentral:rRNA from 1 species
CCUUAGUAACGGCGAGUGAAGCGGCAACAGCUCAAAUUUGAAAGCUGGCUCCUUCGGAGUCCGCGUUGUAAUUUGUAGAGGAUGAUUCGGCAAGGGCUCCCGCCUAAGUCUCCUGGAACGGAGCGUCAUAGAGGGUGAGAAUCCCGUAUGCGGUGGGCUGCCUAAGCCAUGUGAAUCUCCUUCGACGAGUCGAGUUGUUUGGGAAUGCAGCUCUAAAUGGGAGGUAAAUUUCUUCUAAAGCUAAAUACCGGCCAGAGACCGAUAGCGCACAAGUAGAGUGAUCGAAAGAUGAAAAGCACUUUGGAAAGAGAGUUAAAAAGUACGUGAAAUUGUUGAAAGGGAAGCGCUUGCAGCCAGACUUGUCCGCAGUUGCUCAGCCGGUCUCCUGACCGGUGUACUCUUCUGCGGCCAGGCCAGCAUCAGUUCGGGCGGUCGGAUAAAGACCUCGGGAAUGUAGCUCCUCUCGGGGAGUGUUAUAGCCCGGGGUGGAAUGCGGCCAGCCUGGACUGAGGAUCUCGCUUCGGCUAGGAUGCUGGCGUAAUGGCUGUAAGCGGCCCGUCUUGAAACACGGACCAAGGAGUCUAACAUCUAUGCGAGUGUUUGGGUGUCAAACCCAUGCGCGUAAUGAAAGUGAACGGAGGUGGGAACCCUCACGGGUGCACCAUCGACCGAUCCUGAUGUCUUCGGAUGGAUUUGAGUAAGAGCAUAGCUGUUGGGACCCGAAAGAUGGUGAACUAUGCCUGAAUAGGGUGAAGCCAGAGGAAACUCUGGUGGAGGCUCGCAGCGGUUCUGACGUGCAAAUCGAUCGUCAAAUUUGGGUAUAGGGGCGAAAGACUAAUCGAACCAUCUAGUAGCUGG